rnacentral:rRNA from 1 species
UACGUAGGGUGCAAGCGUUGUCCGGAAUUAUUGGGCGUAAAGAGCUCGUAGGCGGUCUGUCGCGUCGGCUGUGAAAUCCCCGGAGCUCAACUCCGGGUCUGCAGUCGAUACGGGCAAACUGGAGUACUGCAGGGGAGACUGGAAUUCCUGGUGUAGCGGUGAAAUGCGCAGAUAUCAGGAGGAACACCGGUGGCGAAGGCGGGUCUCUGGGCAGUAACUGACGCUGAGGAGCGAAAGCGUGGGGAGCGAACAGG